rnacentral:lncRNA from 1 species
UCUAUCUUUUAUAAUUAUUAACUACCUUGAGUAAUUAUUCAUUCCCAUGGAAAACAAAUCGUACAAGUAUUUUUUAUCUCAUCUUGGUUCAGAUAAAAUUAGACAUUUUGAAAUAAGAAUGAGCUGUUUAAAAUGUUAGGCAAUACAUUUAAAACAUUCUUGCUUUACUGUGACUUACUGUAAAUAUUUUUUAAGCCCAGUACUUUAAGCUGAUGUUUUUUUCUUAUGAAGCAAAAAUACAUUGAAAGUUCUUAUCAGAAAUUAUGUGCUGCUAAGGUAAAUGUUCUUUUGGUUUCAACUCUCUCCUGUAUUCUUUGAUUGCAGAUCAUAGUGUUGGUCAUGAGUUGCUAGACGUAAUAUGUGAUAUUCUUUGAGUACUUAUUCUUGUGUCAUGUAAGUUCCACCUGAAAGACACUUUCAUUGUUAGUUUACUGAAGACUUUUCAAAGGCAAAUAACCAAAUAUGCCAGCAAUACAUUCUUUCUGUACAACAUAAAGAAAAUAAUCUACUAACCUUGUAAACUAUAGCCCAAUACAAUAUUUUUGGUAUUAUACACGUGUUAUGUGAUGUAGCCAGAAUCUCCUGAUGAUGAGAAGGGAUGAAAGUGAGGAUUCACAGAGCCAUGCGAGCUUAGUGAGUGGAUGCAAGCCUUCUCAUUGGAGUGCUAUGAGUUCAGAGCCGCAUGCAGAACCUAUGAAUGCUUCUAGAGUCCCAUUUUUAGCUGUACCUUAAACCACAAUAUUUUAUAAGUUAGUGUGGGUCUGUUUUUCCUAAAUAAAGUGGUCUUUUACCUUUAAUUAUAACUGAAGCUUGUUUCAGAAAAUUCACACUUAGAGAAUUUCACAGAACAUUGCAUCAGUGAUCACAAGCUUCAAAGGGCUUCUUACAAGGUGACAAUUGGGACGUGCGAGUUUGUUUAGUAAAGUUAAAUAAUUCUCUUCUAUUUUAAAUCAUUCUAUCUUGACUUAGCAAAAUUAUUACUGUAAUUAAGUUGAUUUUUAUGUUCUCUUAGCAAUAAUUAGUCUUAAUUAACACGAGAGCUACUUAAUAUAUAAAGCAUCAAAAUUAUCUUUAAACUUAGAUGUUUCAUUGUCUAACUACCUUAAUCUUAUUUUACCGUAUUUUUAAAUGUGACAUAACUUUUUAUGAUUUUUAAUUCAGGAAAAUAUACUACAAUAAUAAAUUGUUAGAUUUGUAUGAUGGGCUUUAAAUUCAACUAGCCAAAACAUAGCUUGUGAUUGUGUGUGCUAAGCCAAAGAAGUAAAACCAGUAUUUAUAUAAGAUGUUUUUCCUAGUGGAGUAAAUACAAAAUAUAAUUAGCAAUUUUAUUUUGAAUUUUAUUUAAAUACUUUGCUAAAUAUUUACAGAAGCAACUAAUUCAAUAUUAUUUUCUUGUUUUUUAUAUAUUUAUGGAAGAACAUAUUGCUGCAGCUAAUAGUCAUAUUUGCUUGUUUGCCUUUAUUUAAAAGAAUUGCUGAAUUGGUGAGGAAAACUUAUCUUUGAAGUGAAACUACUUACAGUACAUGGAAAUAAUAGAUGGUGGGCAAUCUCUUGUUAUAUUUAUCUAGACUGUCAUUAUUAACUCAUUCUAAAAUGUUUAAAAUGUUCCCUAAAGUCCUUCAUAGAUUUUAGGGGCCCUAUAAAUCCUUUUAUUUCCUCUCUCUCUCUCUCUCUCUCUCUCUCUCUCUCUCUCUCUCUCUCUCUCUCUCUCUCUCUCUCUCUUAGACAAAGUUUCUCUGUGUAGCCCUGGCUGUCCUGGAACUCACUUUGUAGACCAGGAUGGCCUCAAACUCAGAAAUCCACCUGCCUCUGCCUCCCUAGUGCUGGGAUUAAAGGCCUGCGCCACCACGCCUGGCUUUCAUUUCUCAUUUAAUACUUGGUUGCUUUUCAAUUUUUCUUCAGGAAGACUGAGAAACUGAAUGUCUUAGUUUGUGAGCAUCAGUGAGUGGCACAUACCCUUUGCCAGUACCUUAGGUCUUUCAGUAUAUGCAAGCAAACUCGUCAUCUGUUGAUAUUCCCUUAUCUCUGCAGAGUGCAAUUUUCAAGCUAUUCCAGAGAAGACAAUUUCAACUAAUGUUUUUGAGAGUCAAGGGUCAGAUACCUAAGGUUAAAUAUAGAUGGGUUAUUUUCAAAUUCAGAUGUGUUAUAUUUUCCUUUGUGGUUCAUCUAUCAUACAUGUAAUAUCAGAUAACAACAUUGAGAAUUGCUCCCUUGAUGACCUAACAUAUAGAAGCAUAGAAGGCCUUUGAAGGAUUGCUUUGAUAUUAUUUGGGGGGGUAUCCUUUAGGGGCUUACAUGGGGGUCAUACCUGCUGGAAGAGACAGUAAAAAUAUCAUCUCUUACUAUUAAAUGGCAUGCCUUUAAGUGUUCUCUUACUAUUAUAUGGUAACUCAGUCUGAAAUUGAAAGAUAAUUAAGGUGAACAUGGAAGAAAAUCUGUCUUCUUUGAGCUUACAGUGUGCUCAAAGCAGUUUAGAUGUGACACAGGCCUUUUCUAACUCAGAAAGCCAAGUUUACUAGUUACCACGUUAAUGCAGUGCGGGAAAUGCUGAAAUAAAUGAGGAUUCAAGGAUUUCUAGUGGACUAGCUAGUGAUCAGGAACCCAAGGAUAAAGUUUGUACUGCUAAAUUCCUGAGAAAAGAAUGUCUUGCACAAGGGUCAUGUGCAGAUAUUCAUGGUUCCAGGUUCUGCCUGGUUAUUCUACCAUGGCUUUUUGUGUGGUUGUGAAUAGGGCACAUAUGGCCCUCACAGUAGAACUUUGAUGAGGAUCCACUGCUAGAGUGUCGAUCCUGUCACUGGUCAUCUGAAUUUAUAAAGGAGUCCUUGUAAAAGGUCUGUCUUGACACCAUUAAUCUAUGGUUUAAUGCAAAUG